rnacentral:rRNA from 3 species
AACUUCUGAAUGUUGACCUCGAAUCAGGUAGGAAUACCCGCUGAACUUAAGCAUAUCAAUAAGCGGAGGAAAAGAAACCAACAGGGAUUGCCCCAGUAACGGCGAGUGAAGCGGCAACAGCUCAAAUUUGAAAUCUGGCUCUCGGGCCCGAGUUGUAAUUUGUAGAGGAUGCUUUUGGUGAGGUGCCUUCCGAGUUCCCUGGAACGGGACGCCAUAGAGGGUGAGAGCCCCGUCUGGUUGGACACCGAUCCUCUGUAAAGCUCCUUCGACGAGUCGAGUAGUUUGGGAAUGCUGCUCUAAAUGGGAGGUAUAUGUCUUCUAAAGCUAAAUACCGGCCAGAGACCGAUAGCGCACAAGUAGAGUGAUCGAAAGAUGAAAAGAACUUUGAAAAGAGAGUUAAAAAGUACGUGAAAUUGUUGAAAGGGAAGCGCUUGUGACCAGACUUGGGCUUGGUUGAUCAUCCAGGGUUCUCCCUGGUGCACUCUUCCGGCCCAGGCCAGCAUCAGUUCGCCCCGGGGGAAAAAGGCUUCGGGAAUGUGGCUCUCUCCGGGGAGUGUUA